UACAGGGGGUGCAAACGUUGCUCGGAAUCAUUGGGCGUAAAGCGCACGUAGGCGGUCUGUUAUGUCGGAUGUGAAAGCCCUUGGCUCAACUAAGGAAGUGCAUCCGAAACUGGCAGGCUGGAGUACUAAAGAGGGUCGCGGAAUUCCCGGUGUAGAGGUGAAAUUCGUAGAUAUUCGGAGGAACACCAGUGGCGAAGGCGGCUUACUGGUCCAUUACUGACGCUGAGGUGCGAAAGCGUGGGGAGCAAACAGG
rnacentral:rRNA from 1 species